rnacentral:rRNA from 1 species
AAACAUGGCUCUCUGCUUAUAUAUAUAGAGAGUCGAGCCUGCCCAGUGAAUUUUUCAACGGCCGCGGUACUCUGACCGUGCAAAGGUAGCAUAAUCAUUUGCCUUAUAAUUGAAGGCUAGUAUGAAUGGUUUGACGAGAGCAACGCUGUCUCUUUUUUAUUUUCAAGAACUUAACUUUUAGGUGAAGAGGCCUAAAUUUUAUUGAAGGACAAGAAGACCCUGUCGAGCUUAAAAGAUAUUAUAGAAGCUUAUAUAUUUUUAAAUAAAUUUUUCUAUUAAGCUUUUUAGUUGGGGCGACUAAGGAACAAAAAAAGCUUCUUGUUAAUAUUAAACAGUCACGUUUAGAUCCGGUAAUAAUCGAUUAAAGAAAUUAGUUACCGCAGGGAUAACAGCAUAAUCUCUCUUGAGAGACCUAAUCGAAAGAGGGGGUUGUGACCUCGAUGUUGGACUAGAAUAUCCUAAAGAUGCAGA